CGCGGGGUGGAGCAGUUCGGUAGCUCGUCGGGCUCAUAACCCGAAGGUCGCAGGUUCAAAUCCUGCCCCCGCCA
rnacentral:tRNA from 1 species